rnacentral:rRNA from 1 species
AGAACGAACGCUGGCGGCAUGCCUAACACAUGCAAGUCGAACGAAGCCUUCGGGCUUAGUGGCGCACGGGUGAGUAACGCGUGGGAACCUGCCUUUCGGCUCGGGACAACCGUGGGAAACUACGGCUAAUACCGGAUACGCCCUGGACGCAAGUCUGGGAGAAAGAUUUAUCACCGAAAGAUGGGCCCGCGUCCGAUUAGCUAGACGGCGGGGUAAUGGCCCACCGUGGCUUCGAUCGGUAGCCGGCCUGAGAGGGUGGUCGGCCACACUGGGACUGAGACACGGCCCAGACUCCUACGGGAGGCAGCAGUGGGGAAUCUUGGACAAUGGGCGCAAGCCUGAUCCAGCGACGCCGCGUGGGUGAUGAAGGCCUUCGGGUUGUAAAGCCCUUUUACCGGGGACGAUGAUGACGGUACCCGGAGAAUAAGCACCGGCUAACUCCGUGCCAGCAGCCGC